ACUCCUACGGGAGGCAGCAGUCGGGAAUUUUGGGCAAUGGGCGAAAGCCUGACCCAGCAACGCCGCGUGAAGGAUGAAAUCCCUCGGGAUGUAAACUUCGCAAGAAUGGGAAGAAGAUUAGAGGGUGAUAACCCCUUUUGAUUUGACGGUACCAUUUGUAAGCUCCGGCUAACUCCGUGCCAGCAGCCGCGGUAAU
rnacentral:rRNA from 1 species